rnacentral:misc_RNA from 1 species
AACGCACAUUGCGCCCGCCAGCACUCUGGCGGGCAUGCCUGUCCGAGCGUCGCCCCCCCACACGUCAAGCGCAGCUUGUGCUGGAGCGCCGCGGCCGCCGCGGGCUCCCAAAUGCAGUGGCGGGACCGCCGCCGCGCCGAGCGUAGUAGUUCUCCUCCGCUCCGGCACGGCGGCGGCCCCGGCCGCCGAGGUCCCCAGACAGCAAACCCCCGGUCGCAGGGGACGCCCCGCGCCUCGGGUCCUUGCUGUCCAGGGCCCGGCCCGCAACAGAACGACCUCGGAUCAGGCAGGAGUACCCGCUGAACUUAA